rnacentral:ncRNA from 1 species
CUCUGGUACAAAAAUGGACCAGGGCAUAAGGAG